GAGGAAUAUUGGUCAAUGGGCGAAAGCCUGAACCAGCCAUGUCGCGUGCAGGAAGACGGCCCUAUGGGUUGUAAACUGCUUUUGUAUGGGAAGAAACGACGGUACGAGUACUGUUUUGCCGGUACCAUACGAAUAAGGAUCGGCUAACUCCGUGCCAGCAGCCGCGGUAAUACGGAGGAUCCAAGCGUUAUCCGGAUUUAUUGGGUUUAAAGGGUGCGUAGGCGGGAGAUUAAGUCAGUGGUGAAAGUUUGCGGCUCAACCGUAAAAUCGCCAUUGAUACUGGUUUUCUUGAGUACAGUUGAGGUAGGCGGAAUGUGGUGUGUAGCGGUGAAAUGCUUAGAUAUACCACAGAACACCGAUUGCGAAGGCAGCUUACUAAGUUGUGACUGACGCUGAAGCACGAAAGCAUGGGGAUCAAAC
rnacentral:rRNA from 1 species